UGCCAUCUUCCUCCACAAACCAUGGCUGC
rnacentral:piRNA from 1 species